rnacentral:rRNA from 1 species
CCUACGGGUGGCUGCAGUGAGGAAUAUUGGUCAAUGGGCGGAAGCCUGAACCAGCCAAGUAGCUUGCGGGAUGAAGGCACUACGGGUCGUAAACCGCUUUUGCACGGGGAUAACAACCUCGACGUGUCGACGUCUGCAGGUACCGUGCGAAUAAGGGUCGGCUAAUUCCGUGCCAGCAGCCGCGGUAAUACGGAAGGCACGAGCGUUAUCCGGAUUCAUUGGGUUUAAAGGGAGCGUAGGCGGGCGUUCAAGUCAGCUGUAAAAUCGCGCGGCUCAACCGCGCCCCGCAGUUGAAACUGGACGUCUUGAGUUGACGACAGGCAGGCGGAAUGCGUGGUGUAGCGGUGAAAUGCAUAGAUAUCACGAGGAACCCCGAUUGCGAAGGCAGCCUGCCGGGGCGCCACUGACGCUGAGGCUCGAAGGUGCGGGUAUCAAACAGGAUUAGAUACCCCGGUAGUC